GAAAGAUAUUGCUUUUGAGCUCCCAAACAUUUCCAGUCUUUUUGUAUGAAGCUGUUGUAUAAAAAUGCAUGUGUGUACGUGUGUGUACGCUCACUUAUUUAAAAAAUAGGAACAAUCUAUAAAAAUGAUGCAUGAGGUUGGUGCCCUCUUCUGUGUUCACUCUGCAGUCGACCAACUCAUUUUGAAUUUCAGAAGAUCACCUUAAAAGUGGAGAAAUUCGAUAGCUUAAAAACAGCUAACUCGUGCCUUAAAGACUUCUAAGGAGUAAAACAAGUGAAUAUCAGAGAGAACAUGAAACACAUGUUGAAUUAACUUCAGGUCUGGGAAGCUGAACCUUGCACGGACCACUGAUGGGAGGAGACUCUUCAGAAAGGGAAGAAGCUCAUAAGAAGUUGUUGAUUGUGUGUUGGUAUGUAUGUGGAUUCUUUUUCUCAACAACUAAAUUUCAGAUGUAAAGUCUUUAGAGAUGCUUCGUGGAGAUAUUGAGGAAAGGACUGAGGAACUUCUAGUGCUGUUGCCUGAAUGGUACCUCAGUUGCAUGCAGUAGCAGCCUCAGGCAGUGCCUGCUCAGUGAUCUGAGUACAUCCGCUUUCCACCUCCUGCAAUGCCAACAACAUGACAUUCUCAGCUUCUGUUGUAGCACUUCUUGUUUCAUUUGUUCCCUCAUCCACACCUCUGAUCACUCACAGUAGUGCAAUGCUGAGCAGAGGAAUGAAGAACUUCUCACUGCAUUUUUGUUGGCUAGGAAUAGCAGUUGUGGAAGACUUCAUUCAUGUCUACCGCCAUCAUCACCUCAGCAUUCAGGUACCCUCCAGUAGUACAUUAAACAUGAAAAACAUCUGUUCUGUGUUUGUCUUCU
rnacentral:lncRNA from 1 species